rnacentral:tRNA from 1 species
GUGGCUGCAGUUUAGUGGUGAGAAUUCCACGUUGUGGCCGUGAAGACCAGGCUCGAAUCCCAGCAGCCACA